GAGAACCCUGGCUAGUUGAGUCUUUAAACUUGAGUCUUCAGCCUGGAAAGUGGGAAGUCUCUCCAGUGCAUCAGAUCUUGAAGCACACUGUGGUCAUUAUUAAGGCAAUUUUCCUAACUCUGAAAAGCCUCAAUCUUGCUUGCCUUUGGAGAUUCUCUUGGGGGAACAGAAAAAAGGAAAGAUUAAAAUAAAACCCAGCCUCACUAAUGUUUGCUGCUGGCAAACGAAGAGCGCCCCAGCAAGGAGACCAGGGUCUAGGGAAUAAAAGAAGACUAAAACUGCAAACCUCAUCAUCAAGAAGCUCUCAACCUUGUGACACAUAAACAGACACAUUUCCCCUGCCAAAGUUUCAGAGUUGAGGUUUCAAAUAAGAAAAGGGCAAAGAAAUAAGCUUGGAGCAAACACAUUGUUUCUAUUGAUAAAAUUUUAGAAGAUGAGUAUAAUGUAUUUGGAGUGUAAUGUGUUUGGAAUCCACUAAUUAGGAGUCGACGAGGGUGGAAUUAAAUUUUUGUGAGACAGAAGAGUAGCAUCACUUUCUGCCAGUCUUAAAAAUGGGGUUGAUUUAAAAAAGCAAUAAUGCAAAGAACCAAGGGGACUGUCCAUUAGGUGCUCCAAUAAGACUCUGGUUAUACUUCAACAGUAGUGUCCUGAAGAUUAUUGUCAUCAUCUGCCUACAUUAGACUGUGAGCCACCAGAAGGGAGUCUCUCUCAUUCAUUUUCGUGCCUAAUACUGACUAAUUGGAUAUAUGAUGAUGUUUAAAAGGGAAAAGAACUUUCCCAUUCCUUCUUUAAGCCAUUUUAACAGAAUGCAUUUACGUAGAACUUAUUAAGGCAAAAUUACCAGUGAUUGUCUGUUCAUUAAGAUGUCUACCUGGCAAACACCUUGUUAAUCUAUGAUUCGUAUUGUUCUAGAAAGUAUUAAGAUAACUUAAAACAUAUUGAAUAAUUCAGAAGUUUCACCAGCUCUGAAUGACCUUACCAAUUAGAUUAAAUUAGCGUAAUGUGCAUAUUUACUUUUUUAGAAAAGCUUUUAUCUUAGAGAGGAAGUAGGGAAAAGUCUAAGAAUUCACUUACCUUUGGUGUCUUUAGGGUUAAAAAGGGGCUUCAUUAAACUUCUUUUUUUUUAAAUUAAAAUUUCUUUGAAAUAGUUUU
rnacentral:lncRNA from 1 species